AGCAAAAUGAUGAAGUUUUAUGUCUGAAACUGAUGUGGAAUUCUUUGGUUUCAUAUAGGUCUUCAAAGUUCUCUGAUUGCU